rnacentral:rRNA from 1 species
GAUGAACGCUGGCGGCGUGCCUAAUACAUGCAAGUCGAGCGAACAGACGAGGAGCUUGCUCCUCUGACGUUAGCGGCGGACGGGUGAGUAACACGUGGAUAACCUACCUAUAAGACUGGGAUAACUUCGGGAAACCGGAGCUAAUACCGGAUAAUAUAUUGAACCGCAUGGUUCAAUAGUGAAAGACGGUUUUGCUGUCACUUAUAGAUGGAUCCGCGCCGCAUUAGCUAGUUGGUAAGGUAACGGCUUACCAAGGCAACGAUGCGUAGCCGACCUGAGAGGGUGAUCGGCCACACUGGAACUGAGACACGGUCCAGACUCCUACGGGAGGCAGCAGUAGGGAAUCUUCCGCAAAGGGCGAAAGCUUGACGGAGCAACGCCGCAUGAGUGAUGAAGGUCUUCGGAUCGUAAAACUCUGUUAUUAGGGAAGAACAAAUGUGUAAGUAACUAUGCACGUCUUGACGGUACCUAAUCAGAAAGCCACGGCUAACUACGUG